CAACUCCAACCCUGGCCUUCAUAACGACACAUGACGGAACACUAUUUACACGUUUGUGCAUUCUGGAACUUGACAUUUAUUAUUGGAAGGGGGAAGCACGUAGAGGAGGAAGGGCUUCCAAAGCAAAGCAAGGAGGAGCCUUGAGCUGCACACCUUCUUGACGUGACGUUACAUGGACUUUGCUCUCACCUCACCUGUCUAUUCUUUUAGUCUUUCUCCAUCUUCAGAUCCAAGCACAAAUACAGGAGCCAACAGGAGACUGCUGCAGAAUGGAUAAAUCUGAGAAUGCCAAGUGUGAGGCAGAUGAGGAGAACGCAGCUAUGCUUGGAAACACAAAUAAAGCAGGAGAAACCAUUGAUGCCAUUCAAAAAGCUGAGGGCACUAGUAAGAAUUGUAAGGAAUCUCCAGCAAAACCAAAAGGGAACCAGAAGUUGGUGUACCUGCGGGCUAAUAAAGGACUCAUUGCCAUUGUAUUGGUUUCAGCUGUUAUUAUAUUUGCUGUCGUGGUUGCCAUGCUUGCCACUACGGAAUCAGACGGGCAUGGCCAUGGUCACGGGCAUGGCCGCUCCCAAUUGCACAACAUCACAAAAAAACCUUAACAGGAGAUGCAGCAGACCAAGAGGAUAAAUCAGUUCAUCAUUUUUGUUUUUAACAAGACUUUGAAUCAUGUUUUGUGUAAUUUGAUCUGACAAGAAAUUUCUGCCAUUAUUUAUUCACCCUUAUCUUCACAACUUUUUGUCCCAAAGUUGUUCAAUAAAGCUGACUCAGCUUCAUUGUCAUAUAAAUAC